UUUCUGGUGACCAUAGCGAAGUAGUACCACGCCUUCCCAUUCCGAACAGGACCGUGAAAUACUUUAGCGCCGAUGAUAGUGCCCAUUGCGGGUGUGAAAGUAGGACAUUGCCAGA
rnacentral:rRNA from 1 species